CGGGGUGCACCAGGCGCGAAACCUCCACAAUGCGCGAAAGCGUGAUGGGGGGAUUCCGAGUGCUUACAUUUUAUGUAAGCUUUUGCCAAGAGUUCACAUCUUGGAGAAUAAGUGGUGGGUAAGACCGGUGCCAGCAGCCGCGGUAACCCCGGCGCCACGAGUGGCAAUCUUUUAUUGGGCCUAAAGCAUUCGUAGCAGGUUUGAAAAAUCCUUUGUGAAAUUGUUGAACUCAAUACAACAGCGUGCAGGGGACACUUUCAGACUAGAGACUGGGAGGAGUUGGGGGUAUGCCUGGGGGAGCGGUUAAAUGCGAUAAUCCUAGGUAGACCACCUGUGGCGAAGGCGCCCAACUAGAACAGUUCUGACUGUGAGGGAUGAAAGCUAGGGUAGCGAUCCGGAUUAGAUACCCGAGUAGUCCUAGCUGUAAACACUGUGAGCUAGGUGUCGCAUAUUCUACGAGAAUAUGCGGUGUCGAAAUGAAGAUGAUAAGCCCACCGCCUGGGAAGUACGGUCGCAAGACUGAAACUUAAAGGAAUCGGCGGGGGAGCACAAGGGCGAUUCGCGG
rnacentral:rRNA from 1 species